rnacentral:rRNA from 1 species
GUCCUAGCCGUAAACGAUGAGCACUAGGUGUCGGGGUUAAACCCUCGGCGCCGUAAGCAAACGUGUUAAGUGCUCCACCUGAAGACUACGACCGCAAGGUUAAACUCAAAGGAAUUGACGGGGCCCGCACAAGCGGUGGAACAUGUGGUUCAAUUCGAUGCUACGCGAAGAACCUCACCAAGGCUUGACAUGUAUGAAGUACGAACCUGAAAGGGGAGGACCUGUCAAGUCAGGAACAUACACAGGUGCUACAUGGCUGUCGU